rnacentral:rRNA from 1 species
UACGUAGGGGGCUAGCGUUGUCCGGAUUUAUUGGGCGUAAAGAGCGUGUAGGCGGCCAGGUAGGUCUGCUGUGAAAACUCGAGGCUUAACCUCGAGAUGUCGGCGGAAACCAUCUGGCUAGAGUCCGGAAGAGGAGAGUGGAAUUCCUGGUGUAGCGGUGAAAUGCGCAGAUAUCAGGAAGAACACCCGUGGCUAAGGCGGCUCUCUAGUACGGUACUGACGCUGAGACGCGAAAGCGUGGGGAGCGAACAGG